ACUGUUGAUGGGUUGUUCGCAGGUUGGUUUUUGGCUUGGAAGUUAGUGUUGGUUCAUGUUCCACUUGUCCAAGAAAUCUUUGGGUUGAGGAAAAAACCCGUCAAACCAAAACCUGAAAAUCGCCGGCGAUUCACUCAAUUUUACAACGACAUGGAUGCCCGGACUUCUGCUUCUCUAUGAGUUACCAGUCGCCAUGGAUGCAAAAGCUGCAGUGUGCCAGUGCUAGGUCCCCAGAUUCUUGUAGAAAUCUCAGUCUUGAUUGCAUCUAAAAGGGCUAAUAGAAGCUGAUGGCUCCUAUAUCAGGUUAGAGAGGGUCUAAGAUUCUGGGUGCGAUACUUCAGUUCUUUGUACAGAUUUCAGUUAUGAUUUUCAUCAUCAAUGCAUGUAUGUACAGUUGUAAUGCGUUUUCUAGGUCAGGUUUAAAAUAUGAAUGAUUUGGAUUGGUUUUUCUUUGCUGCCAAAUGCAUGGUAAUUGCUCA